GCGAAGGUGGCGGAACUGGCAGACGCACUAGCUUGAGGUGCUAGCGGGUAACACCGUGGGGGUUCAAGUCCCCCCCUUCGCA
rnacentral:tRNA from 2 species